GGGGAGUCGAGGAGGGGAAAUUUAAGAAUUGAGAAGCCUCUAGAGAGAACGAACAAGAGUGAUGGAAAUCCGGAGGAAAGAAAGUUCAUUUAAGUGGAGAAAGAUAUAAGAAGGCUACCAUGUUUUGUCCUUUCUGUGGCCAACAUCUGGGGACGGUUCAAGUGUUCUGUGACUCCUGUGGCAAACAUGUACAGUUUUUGGCAGAAGUUGAACACAACAGCAUUCCAUAAGGAGGGUCAGGAACUCACGCUUGGGACCACCAGUGUCCACUCCAUCCUCAGUUUGUCCCUCAUCAUCAGUGAACUUAACUGACAUCUCAUGAGAGGGGUCGAAUGCAACACACUCUCACUCCAUAAUCGUCCAGGAGCGACGUUUGGUCAGGG